CUGGCCCUGAAUCAAGGCCAACGGUUUGCUGAAGCUGUUGGUUUCAAGCAGGAGCCUAAGGAAGUGCCUGUUUCACGGUCUGUUGGCCUUUUCAGAACUGUGGAAAUGUAACGGGCAGUUCAUUAGAAAGAAGCACUU
ensembl:snoRNA